rnacentral:tRNA from 1 species
GCAUUAAUGGGGUAGUGGUAACCUGGGUCGUUGCCAUUCAUAUAUGGUGAAAUAUUCUUUCGACCCGCCGGGGGUUCGAUUCCCCCUUAAUGCA